UGUGCUUGCUAUCUGUAUCUUUAUCUAAAUUACUAAGAAAAAGUUGAAUAAGACAGGGCUAAAUGCAUAUUCUCAUAAUAUUCUAGUGAUGACUAUUUUCACUGUUGAAAAUCACUAUCUCCUGUAAACCUCAAAAUUCCUUAGACUUAUAAAUGUUGGAAAUUUCACCAUUGGGAUAUUUCAUACUUGGAAAAUUUCUUACUGAUAGUCUAUUGGAAUGGGAACCCCAUUGGCAUGGGAGGUUCCUUCUCUUCCCUUCUUAAGAUUACUUUAGGACAGAAACCUUUUGCUGAACAAUGGAAAGGACUUUGACCUAUGCUUAAGCACAGAACAGGAAUUUCUUUGAGUCUUGAUUAAUUUUAGAAUUGAUACAAUGGAGAUACUUGGAAUAAAUCUCCACCCUAUUCAGUCCUAACAGGAUUGAGUAAGGGCUGCAGCCUAGAUCAAAGAUUUAAUCAUUUGAAAAUAUGACCUUCAACAGACAUGUGCAAAAGCCAGAAACCUCUGGGCGGUCCUGGGUUAAGCUAGAGCCUCCAUUGGCACAGGGAAAUUGAUGAACAGUGAUUGGUAGAUGGGAGAACUGAGAGGAGGAACUUGGAUGGUUUCCUUAAAGAUAGGAGGGUCUGGAGACUUGAGGGGGGGGAGGAGUUUGGUCGGGGUGAUUGCGGUGGACUCGUUUGGUCACGUGAGUGAUAGGGACUGAUCUCUUUUCUUUGCCCCAGCUAUCUAAGGGCUUGGGCCUUUUGGCCCAGCCUAAACAGAAGGGGUAUUUAAGCCCUAUUCCCUUCUCUCCUUUUUUCUCUCUCUCUAUCUCUAAUUCCUUUCUUGCUCCUAUUGUAAUUAAACUCCAAAAAAGGCUGACGGCUGACUUGAGUUUUUCAUUUAGGAAUUACAUAGCUGAAUUCCUUGGCGACCUUAAAUUAAUAUAUAUCAGUCUUUUAAAGUGAUUCCCUUGUCACACUCCCCAGACAAAACCAUUUCUGAAUCAGUCAUUUUUAUUAGCUUCUAGUGAAUAUCUCUCCAUCUUUUCAACAAUAGUAUAAGAUAGCAAAUCAAAAGUUUUGCUAAAAUCUUAGUAAAGCAUAUCUAUUUAAUUCUUCUG
rnacentral:lncRNA from 1 species